GGUGGUGGUGGUGGUGGUGGUGGACUGGCAGUGGUGCCAGGCGGUGAGGGGGUAGAGGAGGUGGAGCCACCAACAUUAACAGCUAAUUUUUGGCCUAUAGAGCAGUGUCCAGGAAAGGUACAAAAAUAAUAGUGCAUACCCGAGGCAUUGAGAGUAAUAUUUGCUGGACCAGUGUUUGCAACACUCAGAGUAUUGCCAGUGUUACAAUUAUUAUAAGCAUCCUGUGUAACCCGGUGGCGAAGUUGAAUAGGAGAGUGUCACCAACAGCGAAAUUGUGAGAGGAGGCCCAAG
rnacentral:misc_RNA from 1 species